GCGGGGUCUGUCGACUCGCCCUCCCCUAGCCGCCUAAGCCUUCCCUCCACUAACCGGGUCCCCUCCUCACAAGCAACACGGCUUCUGCUUCUCAGCUCUGCGACAGGGGCUUCCCCUCAACCUCAGCCGCCGCCGGCCAAGCACCGCCGCACCAGCGGCCCGCAGCCGCCAUGCAGUUUAUGUUGCUUUUUAGUCGUCAGGGAAAGCUUCGACUGCAGAAGUGGUAUGUCCCAUUAUCAGACAAAGAGAAGAAAAAGAUCACAAGGGAACUUGUUCAAACUGUUUUAGCACGGAAACCUAAAAUGUGCAGCUUUCUUGAGUGGCGAGAUCUGAAGAUUGUUUACAAGAGAUAUGCUAGUCUGUAUUUUUGCUGUGCUAUUGAGGAUCAGGACAAUGAACUAAUUACCCUGGAAAUAAUUCAUCGUUAUGUGGAAUUACUUGACAAGUAUUUUGGCAGUGUGUGUGAACUUGAUAUCAUCUUUAAUUUUGAGAAGGCUUAUUUUAUUUUGGAUGAGUUUCUUUUGGGAGGGGAAGUUCAGGAGACAUCCAAGAAAAAUGUCCUUAAAGCAAUUGAGCAGGCUGAUCUACUGCAGGAGAGCCAGAAUGAAGAAUGGGGAGGUUUGUCUGAGGAUGUCUUAUGAUAAAGAACAGUUUAAGACUUUAGUCUCUUUGAGCCCCAACUUAUUUAUUGCCACGUCAUGAAUAUUUUAAUGUCCCAGUGUACUAAAUGACUACUCGACGUGUACGCAGAGUCUCACAGAGGAAAUAGAAAGCUGAUAUACUUAUGAAAGAAAAUAUCCUCAGCUUGGUGACCAUCUUAUAAUAAUAGAAUGUUUCAGAAUCAAUACCUUUACCAUUGUAAUUGUUUCCUGUUCUUAUUCCUCUUUUCUGUUUUAUUUUCAUUCUAUAUGUGAUCUUGAGACAGCUUACUCCUGCUUGCAGCUGGCUUAAUUUUCUUCUGAAAAAAUGUGACCUAUGAAUGUUUUAGUAAUAUUUCAUCUUAAACACAUCCAUGUCAUUUGUGAACCAUUUGUGAUUAAUCUUGUAAGAGGCAAGCCUAGCAGUUGUUACAAUGUUUGCCAAAGAAAAUACAGCUGAAAUGCUAGGUUUAAAUAAGCAGUGCCAUAAUAUAUAGUGUGGUUUGGUCUUCAAAUGUUGGGGGCAAAAACUAUAUUUACUGUGACUAUAUUAUAGUCUAUAUGAACUAAUGUGUUUUAAUGUAUCACAUUACAAUUGUGUUCGGAAAUGCUAGUAAAAUCUGUACAAUGACAUCAUUUAAGUAAAAGAUGCACAGUUUUUCAGAGAUUUGUAAUGCCACAUUUAUUGAAUCACAUGUGUUCUGUAUAAUAAUACCAAACGAUCCCUUUAAGAACCAUCAGAAAGCUAUGUCAGGAAAAUCUUACCUGCAAUAUCUAAUAGUAAGUAACUUUUUCAACAUAUUAAUACUGAGUUGAUAGAGUCAAUUUCAAAUAUUUGAAUAAGUUUAAAUACUUACAUCUUACCAGUUACGGUUUUAUCAUAUAGUAUUCAUUUAAAAUACUUAAUGACUUGUUAACUAUGGUUUUAUAUUUCUGAAUAUUAAAACCUUUUGAAUUGAUCAUUAUUGUGUAUACAUUUAGUAAAACAUGCAACAUACUUGAUUAUAAAAGGAAAGUACCGAAUAAUUCAUUGUUUAUACCUGCAGAGUUUAAAGCCUGAGUUCAGUAAGCUGUCAUUAAACAGUAAAUUCAAAAGAUGCUUACACUGGCUUACCACUGAAAGACCUAUGAAAAUGUAUAUAAGGCAGGCAUGCAAAGCAGUGCUCACCAUUCACCAUAGCACCUAGACGGGCUAUCAAAUGAGGAAUUUAGCAUUAUACAUUGAAAGUGUUGGAAAACAUUGGUCUUUCAUUUCCAUUUUUCCCCUCCAUCCCUCUCCCUGCCCUGCAAUAUAUUAUUUACCUGGUUUUAAUGCUGCAUAAAUAUGCAUUGUCUCAUGCCUGUUUGUUUUGGAUGCUGUGUGUUGAGCUGUUGUAACAAGAUGUUGCUUGUUUUGUUUUCUGUAUACAGCUGCUUGCUUUGAAUUCGUAGAUUCUGAAAUAGCUUUCCUUGCAUGUCUAAAAUAAAAAUAUUGCAUGUA